rnacentral:rRNA from 1 species
GACGUAGGGGGCCAGCGUUGUUCGGAAUUACUGGGUGUAAAGGGUUCGUAGGCGGUGCGGCAAGUUGGGAGUGAAAUCUCUGGGCUUAACCCAGAGGCUGCUUCCAAAACUGCUGUGCUUGAGUGUGGGAGAGGCGCGUGGAAUUCCCGGUGUAGCGGUGAAAUGCGCAGAUAUCGGGAGGAACACCAAUGGCGAAGGCAGCUCGCUGGGACGUGACUGACGCUGAGACGCGAAAGCGUGGGGAGCAAACAGG